rnacentral:lncRNA from 1 species
UAUCUUCAUAAUCACUGCAAUCCACCAGUCCUCCAUUGCGAUCUCAAGCCAAGCAACAUCCUUCUUGCAGAAGACAUGAGUGCCCGAAUUGGAGACUUUGGUAUAUCAAAAAUCCUGCCAGAAUGUGCUAGUAAAACCCUGCAAAAUUCAAAUAGCACAAUUGGGAUAAGAGGCUCUAUAGGUUAUGUGGCUCCAGGUAACUGAAUAGUGUUUUUGGUAUUUGAUUAUCAAUCAAAGUUAUUACAUAAACAUUGCAUGAUCAAAAGUUUGUUUUGGCACAAUUGUAGAGUAUGGUGAAGGUUCUUCUGUCUCAACUCUUGGUGAUGUUUAUAGCCUCGGCAUAUUACUACUUGAGAUGUUUACAGGAAGAAGCCCAACAGAUGAUAUUUUUAGAGGUUCAUUGGAUCUGCACAAGUUUUCAGAGGAUGCUCUUCCAGAGAGAAUCUUGAAGAUAGCUGAUACAACAAUGUGGCUGCACACAGACGCCUAUGAAGCACUACAAGAAGUAAAGUUGAGAAUUGUUUGGUUUCAGUUAUUGCUCUUGGGGUAUCCUGCUCCAGUAAACAACCUAGAGAGAGGACACCGAUAAAGGAUGCAGCCAUUGAGAUGCAUGCUAUCAGAGAUACAUACCUCAUGUUUUCCACGCCUCUUGUUGUGGAACAAGGAGUAACAAGAGAUCUGCAGUGAUUUCUAGCAAGCAGAGGUUAAAAAUGGGCAAGAUGCCUGCAGAACGUAACAUGCAUUUAUUUACAUCUACACUCUUUCUGUCGAGAACUGUCGAUAAGAUGUUUGAGUCGAAUCCACCAUUCCUUUCUGACCAAUCCGCGUCUGUUUGAAUCAGAUAAAGGACAUUAUGUAAAUGUGUCACAUAGAGAAAGAAAAUUCAGAGUUCUACAAGCUACCAGUAUGCAUCUUCUGUUGACAAUUGUCAAUAACUUUUCAAGUUUGCGUCAAAUUCUAUCAUUCCUCUAUUUUUUGAAAGCGCAGCAAAAGCUUUGCUGCAAAUUUAUUAGAAGGAGAAAAAAACAAAGUGCUAGCCCAGUUUUUUAAGGAAAAAACCGAGCCCAUUGGUAGUAUCCGCAAUCUGCAACAACUGUAUCUAGCGCAUAACAAUUUGUCCGGGCUGAUACCAGCAGUACUACAGAAUUUGACAUCACUGUCAGAAUUGGAUCUAUCCUUCAACAAUCUGCAAGGUGAAGUGCCAAAAGAGGGAAUAUUCAGACAUUUAACUAACUUUUCAAUUAGUGGAAACAAUGAGCUUUGUGGUGGAAUACCUCAGCUUCAUUUAUCUCCAUGCCACACAAAUUUCACGGAAAAGAAAAGAAAAGGAUGAUUAAGGUGUCUUACAGUAGCUCUUUCGACAAUUGGUGCAGUCUUGUUAUUUGCUUUCAUGAUUGUACUCAUUCAGUUAAAAAGUAAGAAGCUUAGACAAAGGAAGCAAAGCCCAUUCCUACCACCAAUGAUUGAGGGGCAGUAUGACAGAAUUUCUUACCAUUCAUUAGCAAUUGGAACCAACGGAUUUGCUGAAGCCAAUUUGCUUGGUAAAGGAAGCUUUGGGUCAGUCUAUAAAUGCACAUUUCAAGACGAGGAAACUAUUGUUGCAGUGAAG